rnacentral:rRNA from 1 species
CCCAGACUCCUACGGGAGGCAGCAGUGGGGAAUAUUGGGCAAUGGGCGCAAGCCUGACCCAGCAACGCCGCGUGAAGGAAGAAGGCUUUCGGGUUGUAAACUUCUUUUAAGAGGGAAGAGUAGAAGACGGUACCUCUUGAAUAAGCCACGGCUAACUACGUGCCAGCAGCCGCGGUAAUACGUAGGUGGCAAGCGUUGUCCGGAUUUACUGGGUGUAAAGGGCGUGUAGCCGGGCCGGCAAGUCAGAUGUGAAGUCCCAUGGCUCAACCUUGGAACUGCAUUUGAAACUGUUGGUCUUGAGUAUCGGAGAGGCAGGCGGAAUUCCUAGUGUAGCGGUGAAAUGCGUAGAUAUUAGGAGGAACACCAGUGGCGAAGGCGGCCUGCUGGGCGACAACUGACGGUGAGGCGCGAAAGCGUGGGGAGCAAACAGGAUUAGAUACCCUAGUAC